GUUAGCAUGUUGUAGUGCUUUGAGUGUUAGACUAUGACUCUGGAGACCAGGGUUCGAUUCCCAGUUCAGCCA
rnacentral:tRNA from 1 species